ACGUAUAACACGAGGGGUCACAGCAGUUGGUAUAGCAGGUGUUCUACCCAUUUCAGGCAUAACACUCAGAGUCAUAUUAGUUGCCAUGGUCAGUCUGCUUUUGGCUUCAGGUAUAACAUGAGGGGGCAUAUUAGUUGCUGUGGGAGGUUUUCUACCAUUUUCAGGUAUAACAUGAGGGGUCAUAUUAGCUUCUGUGGGAGAUUUUCUAUCAGUUUGAGGUAUAACAACAGGGGUCAUAUUGGUUGCUGUGGGAAGCUUUCUAUCAGUUUCAGGUGUAGCACCAGAGUUGAUAUUAUUUGAUAUGGUGGGUGUCCUAUUUGUUUCAUGUGCAAUUUGAGAAGCCAUAUUUAUUGAUCGAUCUUCAUUGUUAAAAUUCUCUCGUCUUUCAAAUCUCUCAACCAGAGACCGUGUCCUGCCUGCUACCACAGCAACUCCAUUUACAAUUUUAACUGAGGGGAUCCCUCUAUUGGUAUUAAUGGAUUCAACACAAUUUUCCUGACUAGAGG
rnacentral:misc_RNA from 1 species